rnacentral:miRNA from 1 species
UUACUUAUAUUUUAAGAGUAUAGCCGUGCGGCUAUACUGUUUAAAUAUUAGAAUAUAUUUAACGAGUAUAGCUGCGCGGCUAUACUAUUUAAAUAUUCUAAC